rnacentral:rRNA from 1 species
GACGAACGCUGGCGGCGUGCUUAACACAUGCAAGUCGAACGGAAAGGCCCUGCUUUUGUGGGGUGCUCGAGUGGCGAACGGGUGAGUAACACGUGAGUAACCUGCCCUUGACUUUGGGAGAACAUCAGGAAACUGGGGCUAAUACCGGAUAGGAGAUCCGGCUGCAUGGUGGGGGUUGGAAAGUUUCGGCGGUUGGGGAGGGACUCGCGGCGGAUCAGCUUGUUGGUGGGGGAGUGGCUUACCAAGGCUUUGACGGGUAGCCGGCCUGAGAGGGUGACGGGCCACCUUCCUACUGAGCUCCUCCGCCGGCUCCUCCCGGAGCCAGCAGGCUCCCCUCUUUCCCCCUCUUCGGACGCCUGCUCCACCCCCCCCCCCUGCGGGCUGACGGCCUUCGGGUUUUCCACCCCUUUCGCCUGUGACGCAGCUUUUCUGCCGGUAAUGCGUAAAUACGCACCGGCUAACUACGUG